GCAGAGGAUCUGGAGACCCAAACUACCACCCUUGCUUCUCACGCUUAAUUCACCAUCAUCGCUGAAAUUCACCAUCGCCGCCAACGCUAAUCGGAAGUCAAGAUCUUGCCGUCUUUUUCAUCACAAGACAUGAUUCAUGAGUCACCAUCGCCGCCAACGCUAAUCGGAAGUCAAGAUCUUGCCGUCUUUUUCAUCACAAGACAUGAUUCAUGAGUCACUGCCCUUGCUUCUCACAGUCUUCAAAAUUUUUGUCAUUGCACGAGCUCAAUCAUCGCCGUCAUUUGUAAACAAAUUCUUAAAAAAAGAAGAAGGAAUGAAAAAUUAGUCUUUUAGAGAGAUAAAAUACUCAUUUCUAUAAACAUUAGAGAAAAUACAUGUUUUCACAAUACCCUAAACAAAAUUGUGGUUUGAUCCACGUUUUAUAUGAGAUAGCAAUAUCCAACCAUGAAAUAACAUUGUUGUAGUAUUCAAUAUUGAGAGAAUGAUAUCCAAAAAAGAAAUAGAAUUUCAAGUCUCUCUUGGUGUAAGUGUUUGGACUAGCCUGGUCACAAAGGAUGAGCUCUCUCUCUCUAGGAUUAUUAAGAGAGAGAAAACUCAAUCCUUGUUCCACCAUUCGGUAUGCUUAUCGGCUUUCGUUGUCCCGAUUAGAACCGACUUUGUUUUUGGUGUGGUCUGGCUCUGUUUCCGGUGUGGUCCGGCUCAUGUUACGGCUAUUU